GAUGAACGCUGGCGGCGUGCUUAACACAUGCAAGUCGAGCGAAGCACUCCACUUAGAUUUCUUCGGAUUGACGAGUGGUUUGACUUAGCGGCGGACGGGUGAGUAACGCGUGGGUAACCUGCCUCAUACAGGGGGAUAACAGUUAGAAAUGACUGCUAAUACCGCAUAAGACCACGGUGCCGCAUGGCACAGUGGUAAAAACUCCGGUGGUAUGAGAUGGACCCGCGUCUGAUUAGGUAGUUGGUGAGGUAACGGCUCACCAAGCCGACGAUCAGUAGCCGACCUGAGGGGGUGACCGGCCACAUUGGGACUGAGACACGGCCCAGACUCCUACGGGAGGCAGCAGUGGGGAAUAUUGCACAAUGGGGGAAACCCUGAUGCAGCGACGCCGCGUGAAGGAUGAAGUAUUUCGGUAUGUAAACUUCUAUCAGCAGGGAAGAAAAUGACGGUACCUGACUAAGAAGCCCCGGCUAACUACGUGCCAGCCGCCGCUGUAA
rnacentral:rRNA from 1 species